GUAUAAGAGACAGCAGUAGCCGCGGUAAUACGGAGGGUGCAAGCGUUAAUCGGAAUUACUGGGCGUAAAGCGCACGCAGGCGGUCUGUCAAGUCGGAUGUGAAAUCCCCGGGCUCAACCUGGGAACUGCAUUCGAAACUGGCAGGCUAGAGUCUUGUAGAGGGGGGUAGAAUUCCAGGUGUAGCGGUGAAAUGCGUAGAGAUCUGGAGGAAUACCGGUGGCGAAGGCGGCCCCCUGGACAAAGACUGACGCUCAGGUGCGAAAGCGUGGGGAGCAAACAGGAUUAGAUACCCGAGUAGUCCCUGUCUCUUAUAC
rnacentral:rRNA from 1 species